CGUGUAGGCGGCCUAAUGUGUCAGAUGUGAAAGCCCUGGGCUUAACCCAGGAAGUGCAUUUGAAACUGUUAGGCUUGAGUAGGGGAGAGGGAAGUGGAAUUCCUGGUGUAGAGGUGAAAUUCGUAGAUAUCAGGAGGAACACCGGUGGCGAAGGCGACUUCCUGGCCCUAUACUGACGCUGAGACGCGAGAGCGUGGGUAGCAAACA
rnacentral:rRNA from 1 species